ACUCCUUCGGCUCCCUAAGCAGCGAACCGGCCGUGGGCUGCAGCGGGGCUGUCACUUCCCAUCAGCCAAAUAUUUGGCGUUACGCCUUUUCAGGGCACAGCCUUCCCGCCACUUUUCUUUUUGAGUUGUGGGAGUUAAGAGUCUGAUCUCGGCUUCGUUCCGUGCGUGUGACGCUGAGUCAGGAGCCGGAGGUGUCCCCACGCCGCGCUCGGCCCCUCGCCAUGUGUCACGGCGCUGCCCACGCGCGGUGCCGCAGCUCUGGGCAGGUGCUGAGAGCUCGAAGCCUGUGGAGCACCCUGAGAAGUGACUUCUAGAGGUAGGCCCUGCGC
rnacentral:lncRNA from 1 species